rnacentral:rRNA from 1 species
UACGGAGGGUGCGAGCGUUGUCCGGAAUCACUGGGCGUAAGGGCGCGUAGGCGGCCUGGUAAGUAGGGGGUGAAAUCCUGCGGCUUAACCGCAGGGCUGCCUUCUAAACUGUCAGGCUCGAGCACGGUAGAGGCAGAUGGAAUUCCCAGUGUAGCGGUGAAAUGCGCAGAUAUCAGGAGGAACACCAAUUGCGAAGGCAGCUCGCUGGGACGUAACUGACGCUGAGACGCGAAAGCGUGGGGAGCAAACAGG